AUUCUUACCUAGUGCCGGGGCCUCAUUGAUCACCGAGAACGAGCCCCUAGGGCGAGCCGCGGGAAUUGCAGUGCGCUGGCGUUGACCCCUGCCACUGCCCCAAACUGGGGAGAUGGGACAUGAAAAUUGCUUAAAUAGGGUUCAUCGCAAGAGAGGGCGCCAC
rnacentral:snRNA from 1 species